rnacentral:misc_RNA from 1 species
UCCGGCUUGUCACCGGCAGUUUCUCCAGAGUGCCCGGCAUAACCCGAUGGCAACUGAAGAUGGGGGUUGCGCCCGUUGCGGGACUUAACCCAACAUCUCACGACACGAGCUGACGACAGCCACGCACCACCUGUAUACCGACCACAAGGGGGGCCGUAUCUCUACGGCUUUCCGGUAUAUGUCAAACCCAGGUAAGGUUCUUCGCGUUGCAUCGAAUUAAUCCACAUGCUCCGCCGCUUGUGCGGGCCCCCGUCAAUUCCUUUGAGUUUUAGCCUUGCGGCCGUACUCCCCAGGCGGGGCGCUUAAUGCGUUAGCUGCGCCACUGACAGGUAAACCUGCCAACGGCUAGCAUCCAUCGUUUACGGCGUGGACUAC